GCGGGAGUAGUUCAACUUUUAGAACACUUUCCUUCCCGGAAAGAGGUAUAGGUGUAAGUCCUAUCUUCCGCUCCA
rnacentral:tRNA from 3 species